AUGUCAUGGAUCACCUCUGGGCGUUUUCCCAAACCCUUUCUGGAAUUUAUUUUCAGUGCUGCAAGAAAAACAAUGAUAAAGACACACGCUGAGAAAGUCUUUGUGAUAACUUCAGUAAGCACAUAUAGUGGAGCAGAUGGUGGUCCUUAUUGGGAGCGUCAUCAGAAGUGUGUGACCGUGCACAUGCACAGCUUAGAGGGUACAUUGGCUGGCAGCUUUAGAGGGGACCUGAGGUCAGAGGUCACCUGUGACUCAAGGCUUCAGGAAUUCGGUCUCAAGGAAAUGAAUAGCAUGGAGAAAAAUAAGAGACAGAAAUUGUAACGGCUACAGGAAAUGAUAGCUCAUUAGAAUGUUGUCAGAUGGUGACUGAGAAUUAUUAACUGUUUUAUAGAGGGACAAGAAGGAAAGGGAAGCUGGAACCUGUUUACCUCCAAAAAAAAAAUCCCCAUGUUGUUCGCUGGGGAACACAGAGCCAUGAAUGUUUUCACCUUCCUACAUGCUGAUCCCAUGGUUCUUCUUGCAUGAUGUUGCUUCUGGGUAAGGUUUAGUCACCUCUCCAAAGAUUACAAUUAGUAAAACACAAGUGUUGACAGGUAAUUCAGUUAAUGGUGUUACAAGGCCUCAUUCUGGUCUUUGCAUUUAUUAUAUACUGUUUCAACUUACACUCAAAAAUGGAUUUUUGCUGCUUCCUCCAUUAAUUUGGUUAAAAUUAGCUAAUGCAACACGUUAAAUUUAAUUUCCAUACAUUUGUAUAAAAUGACUUAAUCUGUUUGCAACAGGAGCACAUGGAUAAUUUGUAUUCACUCAGGCAGGGGAUUUCCAGUUCCCAGCAUUCUUUGCAUGAGACCGAAUGGGAAGAUUAAAUGUUGAAUUAAGUGUUUGGCGUAUUUUAUGUUUUUUGAGCAAGAUAAAGAAAGGAGGGAAGCUUUUUUGUGUUUAAUGUUCUGUUAUGUUGGAAUCUAAAGGAGUUUUUAUUAUAUUGUGCUUUUAGCGGUAAACUUGUGUUUAGGUUGGAUGUAAGUGAACAUUGUUCGAGUUAGUUUGAGGUAUUUACAGCUUAGUUCAUUGUAAAGAAACCCAAUUUCCUACUGUCCACAACAGAAUGCAUUUUAGCCAAAAAAUUGCUGUUUUGAGUGUACUCACAUGCUAACCUGUUUAUCUAAUCACAGUCUUCCUUUACUCUGCCAUGCCUCACUCCUCAAGUGUGUCAGCCUGUCAUCUGUGCUUGCCUGGAUAGCUUCUGUUGCUCCCUUUGUUUCUUAAUUUUUCACGCUGGAUCUUGUUGACAUUAGCAAAGAGUUCAAGCUCAUUGAGUCAGAAGCUUGUGCAGUCAAACAGGCCAUGAGCAGAGAUAGCCUGCGCUGUCAUGCUCUAGAUUUCAUAUCGCCGAUGACCGGCAUCUUCAUCAGCCUGUUUUUGAGGAUCAUCAUCCUUCCCUGAAUGUGUUUGAAUCAUCUCCCAUUUCCUGUUGCUGAUGUCACUCAGCAGGGAGAUGGACAGACACAUAGGAGCCAGCACCGUAAUGAAAUGACCUCAGUUACCCCUGUCCGCUCACCUGUGCUAUCGCUCACAUAUCCUCAGCAUCACUUAAAUGUGACUAAUCAAUACUAAUCAAUAUGGCAAACCUUGAUAACCUUGUUAGCUUGCUGCACUCAUCCUAGCUGUGAGUUAAACAGGCAUUGUGGGAAGACUUGGAUCUUGAUCCGCUCACAUACACUCAUUAGGUGUAUUAGCCUUUGUGUAUUUGCACACUGUGUAUUAGUGUGGAUUCAGAGUCUUGUCAGUUUUGUGUUUUUUUUAUUUUAUUUUAUUGAUUUUAACUGAUACAAUAAAAAUAGUAAGAUACAAUAUGAUAUGAAAUAU
ensembl:lncRNA